rnacentral:lncRNA from 1 species
AUAUGUACAUAGUAGGUUGCCUUCAGAGAUGUGAUAGCAGGUUCCGUUCAGAGAUGUGAUAGCAGGUUGCGUUCAGAGUUGUGAUAGCAGGAUGUUUUAAGAGAUGUGAUAGCAGGUUGCGUUCAGAGAUGUUCAGAGAUGUGAUAGCAGGUUGCAUUCAGAGACCUUGACAGCAGGUUGCGUUCAGAAACGGGAUAGCAGGUUGUGUUCAGAGACGUGAUAGUAGGUUGUGUUCAGAGAUGUGAUAGCAGGUUGCGUUCAGAUACGUGAUAGCAGGUUGAGUUUAGAGACGUGAUAGCAGGUUGCGUUCAGAGUUGUGAUAGUAGGUUGUGUUCAGAGACGUGACAGCAGGUUGCGUUCAUAAAUGGGAUAGCAGGAUGCGUUCAGAGACAUGAUAGCAAGUUGCGUUCAGAGACAUGAUAGUAGGUUGCGUUCAGAAAUGUGAUAGCAGGUUGCCUUCAGAGAUGUGAUAGCAGGUUACGUUCAGAGAUGUGAUAGCAGGAUGCGUUCAGAGAUGUGAUAGCAGGUUGCGUUCAGAGAUGUGAUAGCAGGUUGCGUUCAGAGAUGUGAUAGCAGGUUGCGUUCAGAGAUGUGAUAGCAGGUUGCCUUCAGAGACGUGACAGAAGGUUGCGUUCAGAGAUGUAAAGCAAGACGCGUUCAGAGACAUGAUAGCAGGACGCGUUCAGAGACGUGAUAGCAGGACGCGUUCAGAGACGUGAUAGCAGGUUGCGUUCAGAGAUGUGAAGCAAGACGCGUUCAGAGACAUGAUAGCAGGACGCGUUCAGAGACGUGAUAGCAGGACGCGAUCAGAGACGUGACAGCAGGUUGCGUUCAUAGAUGUGAUAGCAGGUUGCCUUCAGAGACGUGACAGAAGGUUGCGUUCAGAAAUGUGAUAGCAGGUUGCUUUCAGAGACGUGAUAGCAGGAUGCGUUCAGAGACGUGACAGCAGGUUGCAUUCAGAAAUGUGAUAGCAGGAUGCGUUCAGAGACGUGAUAGCAGGAUGCGUUCAGAAAUGUGAUAGCAGGACGCGUUCAGAGACGUGAUAGCAGGAUGCGUUCAGAGACGUGACAGCAGGUUGCAUUCAGAAAUGUGAUAGCAGGAUGCGUUCAGAGACGUGAUAGCAGGAUGCGUUCAGAAAUGUGAUAGCAGGACGCGUUCAGAGACGUGACAGCAGGUUGCAUUCAGAAAUGUGAUAGCAGGACGCGUUCAGAGACGUGACAGCAGGUUGCGUUCAGAGACGUGAUAGUAGGUUGCGUUCAGAAAUGUGAUAGCAGGUUGCGUUCAGAGACGUUACAGCAAGUUGCAACUUGCAUUCAGAAAUGUGAUAGCAGGAUGCGUUCAGAGAUGUGAUAGCAGGUUGCGUUCAGAGAUGUGAUAGCAGGUUCCGUUCAGAGAUGUGGUAGCAGGUUGCGUUCAGAGACACCAGUGUUUGUGUUGUGUUUGUCUCUGUUGCAAAAUGACAGAUGGAUUUUUUUUCUCUCUGGGCUGGCAGUGCCAGCGAACUUUGAUUUGUUUUUGGAUUUAAGGAUUUUGGGUGUUUGUUUCAUCUUUUGUUUCUGUGACAAAAAAGGAUGUUUGGGUAGUAGGGAUGG